UCGCUCCUACCGAUUUCGAGUGGUCCGCUGAACCGUUUGGACCGAGGCCGGAUUUUCGGUCUUGGAAAGUCCAGUAAAGCACAUCACUUAGAGGAAGGAG
rnacentral:rRNA from 1 species